GACGAACGCUGGCGGCGUGCUUAACACAUGCAGGUCGAACAGUAAGGCCCUUCGGGGUACACGAGUGGCGAACGGGUGAGUAACACGUGGGUGAUCUGCCCUGCACUUCGGGAUAAGCCUGGGAAACUGGGUCUAAUACCGGAUAGGACCACUGCCUGCAUGGGUGGUGGUGGAAAGCUUUUGCGGUGUGGGAUGGGCCCGCGGCCUAUCAGCUUGUUGGUGGGGUGAUGGCCUACCAAGGCGACGACGGGUAGCCGGCCUGGGAGGGUGACCGGCCACACGGGGACUGAGAUACGGCCCAGACUCCUACGGGAGGCAGCAGUGGGGAAUAUUGCACAAUGGGCGCAAGCCUGAUGCAGCGACGCCGCGUGAGGGAUGACGGCCUUCGGGUUGUAAACCUCUUUCAGCACCGACGAAGCGCAAGUGACGGUAGGUGCAGAAGAAGGACCGGCCAACUACGUGCCAGCCGCCGCAGUAA
rnacentral:rRNA from 1 species